rnacentral:rRNA from 1 species
GGCCAGCAGCCGCGGUAAUACGGAGGAUCCAAGCGUUAUCCGGAUUUAUUGGGUUUAAAGGGUGCGUAGGCGGCUUAUUAAGUCAGGGGUGAAAGACGGUGGCUCAACCAUCGCAGUGCCUUUGAUACUGAUGAGCUUGAAUCUACCUGAGGUAGGCGGAAUGUGACAAGUAGCGGUGAAAUGCAUAGAUAUGUCACAGAACACCAAUUGCGAAGGCAGCUUACUAAAGUGGUAUUGACGCUGAGGCACGAAAGCGUGGGGAUCAAACAGGAUUAGAUACCCUGGUAGUCCACGCCCUAAACGAUGAACACUCGAUGUUGGCGAUAUACAGUCAGCGUCUAAGCGAAAGCGUUAAGUGUUCCACCUGGGGAGUACGCCCGCAAGGGUGAAACUCAAAGGAAUUGACGGGGGCCCGCACAAGU